rnacentral:tRNA from 1 species
UCCCUGGUGGUUUAGUGGUUAGGACUUGGCACUUUCAGUGCCAUGGACUUGGGUUCAAUCCCUGAUUUGGGAA